GACGAACGCUGGCGGCGUGCCUAACACAUGCAAGUCGAGCGGAGACAUGUUGCGGAAGUUUUCGGAUGGAAGCGAUGUGUUUUAGCGGCGGACGGGUGAGUAACGCGUGAGCAACCUUUCCUUGACAGGGGAAUAACGUACCGAAAGGUACACUAAUACCGCAUAAGGCCACAGCACCGCAUGGUGCAGGGGUGAAAGGAGUAAUCCGGUCGAGGGUGGGCUCGCGUCCGAUUAGCUAGUUGGUGAGGUGACGGCCCACCAAGGCGACGAUCGGUAGCCGACCUGAGAGGGUGAUCGGCCACAUUGGAACUGAGAUACGGUCCAAACUCCUACGGGAGGCAGCAGUGGGGAAUAUUGGGCAAUGGGGGAAACCCUGACCCAGCAACGCCGCGUGAAGGAAGAAGGCCUUCGGGUUGUAAACUUCUAUCCUUGGUGAAGAGGAGAAGACGGUAGCCAAGAAGGAAG
rnacentral:rRNA from 1 species